rnacentral:lncRNA from 1 species
AUGGGGUGCAUUCACAGCACGGGCCCUGGCAGCAUGAAGACACAUGGACUUGGUCCUGACACGGGAGGAAUCCCCAUAGAUGCAGAACCCGAGGUGCAUCCUGAAAUCCUUCAUCUCGCCGAGCUCGCCAAAGCUGGGAGCCACGCCUUCACAGAGAAGAGCUUCAAGAGGAGACGGGUGUGUGAUGUGUGCAGGCAGGACAUCGACAACCCCGGGGCUUUUUGCAAGGAGUGCAAGGUUGCAGUUCACAGGACCUGUGAAGCCAAGGUAAGCCGCACGUUACUUUCCCCAGUGUCCGCAGCAACCUGCGCUCCGGUGACAGAGCUUGUUGGGCAGCGAUGUUAA